rnacentral:ncRNA from 1 species
CAGCGCCUGCAGCAUGACAGCCAAGGCCGCCAUGCCCGUGCGCUUUAUGAAUCUGGUCGAGCCGCUGGGCGCCUCCAAACCUGCAGGCCCCACCGCCAGGCGCACCACGGAUACCACCGCGCGGCACACCAGCGCGGCCUGGUCCGGCGCAGUUUCCCAACUGAUCGGCGCAAGCCUUCGGCGGGGCGACGUAGAUAGCUCGACGCUUCG